UUUCUACUCCCUCCGUCCGAAAAUACUUGUCAUCAAAAUGGAUAAAAAGAGAUGUAUCUAAAACUAAAAUAUGUCUAGAUACAUUUCCUUUUAUCCAUUUUGAUGACAAGUAUUUCCGGACGGAGG
rnacentral:pre_miRNA from 1 species